UACGGAGGGGGGCUAGCGUUGUUCGGAAUUACUGGGCGUAAAGCGCACGUAGGCGGCUUUGCAAGUCAGAGGUGAAAGCCCGGGGCUCAACCCCGGAAUAGCCUUUGAGACUGCAUCGCUAGAAUUGUGGAGAGGUAAGUGGAAUUCCGAGUGUAGAGGUGAAAUUCGUAGAUAUUCGGAAGAACACCAGUGGCGAAGGCGACUCGCUGGACAAGUAUUGACGCUGAGGUGCGAAAGCGUGGGGAGCGAUCCGG
rnacentral:rRNA from 1 species